AUGGAGUGCAACCCAGAGAUCUUAUGUUGGAACGUUUGCGGAUUAAACAAUCCUGCGAAGAAAAAGGCGGUUGGGGAGUUCUUGGCCUCGGUCAAGGUUAACUUAGUGUGUCUCCAGGAGACCAAGCUGGAUGUUAUGGACCCUUUCAUGGCUAUGCAAUGUUUAGGCCUGUCGCUUGACAGUUUUGCUUACUUACCUGCGGUGGAGACUCAUGGGGGUGUUCUUCUUGCUUGG
rnacentral:rRNA from 1 species